UGGAUGAUGUGAUUAAUUCGAUGCAACGCGAAAACCUUACUACGCUUGACAUGUCAGGAACCUCGAAGAGAUUUGAGGGUGCCCGAAAGGGAACCUGAACACAGGUGCUGCAUGGCUGUCGUCAGCUCGUGUCGUGAGAUGUUGGGUUAAGUCCCGCAACGAGCGCAACCCUUAUCAUUAGUUGCUACGCAAGGGCACUCUAAUGAGACUGCCGGUGACAAACCGGAGGAAGGUGGGGAUGACGUCAAGUCCUCAUGGCCCUUAUGCGUAGGGCUUCACACGUCAUACGAUGGUCGGUACAGAGGGUUGCCAACCCGCGAGGGGGAGCCAAUCCCACAAAGCCGAUCGUAGUCCGGAUUGCAGUCUGCAACUCGACUGCAUGAAGUCGGAAUCGCUAGUAAUCGCGGAUCAGCAUGUCGCGGUGAAUACGUUCCCGGGUCUU
rnacentral:rRNA from 1 species